GGAAGGAUCAUUCACGCUUGAUCCACAAAAUGUUGAAACAUAAGAUUUUAAUGGAUUGAUUUGUUCAUUCUCAGCGGUGGAUGUUUCGGUUCCCAUAUCGAUGAAGGACGUAGCAUUAUGCGAUAAUCAGUGCGAAUUGCAGAAGAAUGUGAACUUACCCGGUAUCUUAACGCAUGCGGCACAGGGGACGCAAGUCUCGUUGUGUAUUCGGCUCAGUGCAAUUUAUUGUGUGGUGGGUGUGUCGACUGUGUCGUCGCAUUGCAGUUGUGUUGUUGGGGGUCAAGAGCCUGAAAACGUAAUUGACUUAUCGACAGUGUCAUUAAUGGGACUGGAGCUCGAAUGCGGGAACCCGCCGAACUUAAGCAUAUUAGUAAGCGGAGUAAAAGUAACUAACAAGGAUUCCUUUAGUAGUUGCGAACGAAGAAGGAAACACUCAAAUUGGAAAUCGUGUGGGGUUUUAUUCCACGUGAAUUGUAGUGUGGAAACCAGUUGCCGGCGUCUCGGCCAAGCAAAAGUCUCGUGGAAUAGAGCGCAGUAAAGGGUGAGAGCCCCGUGUUUGCUUGUUGCAGGGCGCUAACGGAACGUGUUUUCGAGAGUCGCGUUUCUCGGGAAUGAAGCGCAAAUUGAAUGGUAAAUUUCAUUGAAGGUAAAAAUGAAUAUGGGAGCCCGAUAGCGAAGAAGUACCGCGAGGGAAAGAUGAAAAGGACUUUGAAAAGAGAGUUAAAACUCCCUGAAGCUGCCGAGGAGGAAGCGGUUCGAAUUGAUGAAAAGGCCAUCGAGGAUUUAAGAGAUUCGGUCCAAAUGUUCUCAACGCAUUCUGUGCGCAGGGAAGUUUUGUACUGCAUCUUCUAAAUAACCCGUGGCUUUCCCCGUUGUGUGUGUUUGCUUUUACGGUCCAUCAGACUUCAGCCGGUUAGUCCGGCCAGAACUGAUUGGCUCUGUAGUGGCAUUCUUUCAAGGUUAGCGGCGGAGGUCGUUUCAUCUGAAACGCCUUUGUUCUAGCAACGGUUGUUAUGGUUCGCACCGGCCCGUCUUGAAACACGGAUCAAGGAGUCCAACAUGCACACGAGUUGCAAGGUGGCAAACCUUGGAGCUAAAUGAAAAUGAAAGUUUCUAAAAUAACCGACCACACUCCAGAGGUUCGAGGCGAGUGAGCAUGUUGGGACCCGAAAGAUGGUGAACUAUGCCUGGAAAGGGUGAAGCCCCCGGUUCCCUC
rnacentral:misc_RNA from 1 species